GUAGGUGGCAAGCGUUGUCCGGAAUUAUUGGGCCUAAAGCGCGCGCAGGCGGUUCUUUAAGUCUGAUGUGAAAGCCCACGGGCUCAACCGUGGAGGGUCAUUGGAAACUGGAGAACUUGAGUACAGAAGAGGAAAGCGGAAUUCCACGUGUAGCGGUGAAAUGCGUAGAGAUGUGGAGGAACACCAGUGGCGAAGGCGGCUUUCUGGUCUGUAACUGACGCUGAGGCGCGAAAGCGUGGGGAGCAAACAGGAUUAGAUACCCUGGUAGUCCACGCCGUAAACGAUGGGUGCUAAGUGUUAGGGGGGUUUCCGCCCCUUAGUGCUGCAGCUAACGCAUUAAGCACUCCGCCUGGGGAGUACGGCCGCAAAGGCUG
rnacentral:rRNA from 1 species